UACGGAGGGAGCUAGCGUUAUUCGGAAUUACUGGGCGUAAAGCGCACGUAGGCGGCUUUGUAAGUAAGAGGUGAAAGCCUGGAGCUCAACUCCAGAAUUGCCUUUUAGACUGCAUCGCUUGAACCAUGGAGAGGUGAGUGGAAUUCCGAGUGUAGAGGUGAAAUUCGUAGAUAUUCGGAAGAACACCAGUGGCGAAGGCGGCUCACUGGACAUGUAUUGACGCUGAGGUGCGAAAGCGUGGGGAGCAAACAGG
rnacentral:rRNA from 1 species